CGCUGGCGGCGUGGAUAGGCAUGCAAGUCGUACGGUCGCUUGUGCUUCACCAUGUUCAGCACAAACUUCAUUUAUGCAUAUAUGAAGCGAGUGGUGAGCGUAGCGAAGCACGAGCGGUAGUGGCGAACGAGUUAGUAACACGUAGAUAUCAACCCUCAACACAUGCAUAACCAGUCGAAAGAUUGGCUAAUUCAUGAUAGUCCCAAUAUGUAAUUUAUAUGUUGGGUAAAGGGUAUCCGCAAGGAUUACCGGUUGAGGAUGAGUCUGCGGCUUAUCAGCUAGUUGGUGAGGUAAUGGCUCACCAAGGCUAUGACGAGUAGGGGAAGUGAGAGCUUGUUCCCCAACGGCGGAACUGUGACACGGUCCGCACUCCUACGGGAGGCCGCAGUCGAGAAUAUUGGUCAAUGGGCGAAAGCCUGAACCAGCGACGCCGCGUGCUUGAAGAAGCCCUUCGGGGUGUAAAGGAGCUUUUCUGGGGGAAUAACUUCGGUGAAGGUACCCCAGGNAAUAAGGAGGUGCAAACUCUGUGCCAGCAGCAGCGGUAAUACAGAGCCUCCAAGCGUUAUCCGGAUUUAUUGGGCGUAAAGGGUCCGUAGGCGUCCCGUUGCAUCUUUUGUUAAAUCUUCAGGGCUCAACCUUGAAGCUGCGGAAGAAAUGGACGGGAUAGAGGGCAUUANGGGCUGAUGGAACGGUCNGGUGUAGGGGUGAAAUCCGUUGAUAUCGACNGAACACCAAAGCGAAGGCAUUCAGCUGGGAUGACCCUGACGCUGAAGGACGAAAGCGUGGGUAGCGAAC
rnacentral:rRNA from 1 species